rnacentral:rRNA from 1 species
GACGGAAGGUGCAAGCGUUGCUCGGAAUCACUGGGCGUAAAGGGUGCGUAGGCGGCCGUGCAAGUCUGGCGUGAAAGCCCCGGGCUCAGCCCGGGAAGUGCGCUCGAAACUGCGCGGCUCGAGUGCCGGAGGGGAGAGUGGAAUUCCUGGUGUAGCGGUGAAAUGCGCAGAUAUCAGGAGGAACACCGGUGGCGAAGGCGGAUCUCUGGGCCUUACCUGACGCUCAGGUGCGAAAGCUAGGGGAGCAAACAGG